rnacentral:rRNA from 1 species
UACGUAGGGGGCAAGCGUUGUCCGGAAUCAUUGGGCGUAAAGCGCGUGUAGGCGGCUCGAUAAGUCCGCUCUGAAAGCCCGGGGCUCAACCCCGGGAGGCGGGUGGAUACUGUCGAGCUCGAGUCCGGAAGGGGAGUGUGGAAUUCCUGGUGUAGCGGUGAAAUGCGCAGAUAUCAGGAGGAACACCAAUGGCGAAGGCAGCACUCUGGGACGUGACUGACGCUGAGACGCGAAAGCGUGGGGAGCAAACAGG